CCUACGGGUGGCAGCAGUGGGGAAUAUUGCACAAUGGGGGAAACCCUGAUGCAGCGACGCCGCGUGAGUGAAGAAGUAUUUCAGUAUGUAAAGCCCUAUCAGCAGGGAAGAAAAUGACGGUACCUGAUUAAGAAGCCCCGGCUAACUACGUGCCAGCAGCCGCGGCAAUACGUAGGGGGCAAGCGUUAUCCGGAUUUACUGGGGGUAAAGGGGGCGUAGACGGCAGCGCAAGUCUGAAGUGAAAUGCCGGGGCUUAACCCCGGAACUGCUUUGGAAACUGUGCAGCUAGAGUGCAGGAGAGGUAAGUGGAAUUCCUAGUGUAGCGGUGAAAUGCGUAGAUAUUAGGAGGAACGCCAGUGGCGAAGGCGGCUUACUGGACUGUAACUGACGUUGAGGCUCGAAAGCGUGGGGAGCAAACAGGAUUAGAUACCCCAGUAGUC
rnacentral:rRNA from 1 species